AGUCACGACGCAUAUCAAUAAGCGGAGGAAAAGAAACCAACAGGGAUUGCCCCAGUAACGGCGAGUGAAGCGGCAAGAGCUCAAAUUUGAAAGCUGGCUCCUUCGGGGUCCGCAUUGUAAUUUGCAGAGGAUGCUUCGGGAGCGGUCCCCAUCUAAGUGCCCUGGAACGGGACGUCAUAGAGGGUGAGAAUCCCGUAUGGGAUGGGGUGUCCGCGCCCGUGUGAAGCUCCUUCGACGAGUCGAGUUGUUUGGGAAUGCAGCUCUAAAUGGGUGGUAAAUUUCAUCUAAAGCUAAAUAUUGGCCGGAGACCGAUAGCGCACAAGUAGAGUGAUCGAAAGAUGAAAAGCACUUUGAAAAGAGAGUUAAAAAGCACGUGAAAUUGUUGAAAGGGAAGCGCUUGCGACCAGACUCGCUCGCGGGGUUCAGCCGGCAUUCGUGCCGGUGUAUUUCCCCGCGGGCGGGCCAGCGUCGGUUUGGGCGGUCGGUCAAAGGCCCUCGGAAGGUAACGCCCCUAGGGGCGUCUUAUAGCCGAGGGUGCAAUGCGACCUGCCUAGACCGAGGAACGCGCUUCGGCUCGGACGCUGGCAUAAUGGUCGUAAGCGACCCGUCUUGAAACACGGACCCCUGUGUGAAAUUGU
rnacentral:rRNA from 1 species